rnacentral:ncRNA from 1 species
UUGGUACUUAGGUAUGUUUAAUGUAAUUAUUAUUUAUUUUAUAAAAUUUCUUUUAGAGCAAAUUAUUUAUAAUAAUUUGAUUUUAGUUAAAGUUUUUAUAUUGUUGUAAAGAUUGCAUGAAAAUUUUUGGUGUGGAGAAGACAAUGGGGAAUGUAUUUAAAAUAGUUCUGUUGUUUGGCAAAUAUUUAUGAUAACUAUUUGAUUCUCAGCAUAAAAUAUUAGUUAUAUUGUGUACGAAAGUAUGAAUUAGUUACAACAAGAAUCCCGAUAAAUGUUUGUGCCAGCUUUCGCGGUUAUACUUCAGGUAUAUAUAAAAAGUUUAAGGGUUAGUUAAAUGUAAUUUUUUUUUCUAUAGUUAUUAAAAAGUAAAAUUGGUUUAAUUUUUUGUAGGUAAAGUAUAUUAAAAUUGAAGCUAAGAAGUUUUAGUUAUAGACUAGGAUUAGAUACCCUAUUAUUCUAAAAAUAAUUGUUUCCUUAGUUAGUAGUAGAUAUUUUCUUAAAAUCUAAAAAAUUUGGCGGUAAUUUAAUCUUUUCAGAGGAACUUGUUUUUUAAUCGAUAACCCGCGAAGAAUCUUACUUGUUUUUAAAAUAUUAAAAGUUUGUAUACCAUCAUUAUCAGGUAAUUUUAAAAGGAUAAAUUAUCGAAAGUAAAAGUUUAAUGAAAUUAGAUCAAGGUGCAGCUAAUAAAUAAGGUAAAAUGAGUUACAAUAAAUUAUUUUAAAACGGAUAAAUGAAGGAAUAAUUUGUUUAUAAGGAGGAUUUGAUUGUAUUUUAAGUUUAAUAUGCUUAGGAGAUGAGAGCUCUAAAUUAUGUACAUAUCGCCCGUCGCUUUCAUUUAUGGAUGAAAUAAGUCGUAACAUAGUAAGAGUAUUGGAAGGUGCUCUUAGAUUUAA